AUUCAGCUGACGAGUCCCAAAUAGGACGAAACGCGCACCUUAUAU
rnacentral:hammerhead_ribozyme from 1 species